UAAGGUAGCGAAAUUCCUUGUCGGGUAAGUUCCGACCUGCACGAAUGGCGUAACGACUUCCCCGCUGUCUCAAAUGUGGACUCAGCGAAAUUGAAUUUCCUGUCAAGAUGCAGGAUACCCGCGGUUAGACGGAAAGACCCCGUGCACCUUUACUAUAGCUUCGCAUUGGCAUCAGGCACAGUAUGUGCAGGAUAGGUGGUAGGCUUUGAAGCAGGGACGCCAGUCUCUGUGGAGCCUCCCUUGAGAUACCACCCUUGUUCUGCUUGAUGUCUAACCGCGGUCCGUUAUCCGGAUCCGGGACCAUGCGUGGUGGGUAGUUUGACUGGGGCGGUCGCCUCCUAAAGAGUAACGGAGGCGCGCGAUGGUAGGCUCAGGACGGUUGGAAACCGUCUGCGAGAGUGCAAUGGCAUAAGCCUGCCUGACUGCGAGACUGACGAGUCGAGCAGAGACGAAAGUCGGUCAUAGUGAUCCGGUGGUCCCUCGUGGAAGGGCCAUCGCUCAACGGAUAAAAGGUACUCUGGGGAUAACAGGCUGAUACCGCCCAAGAGUUCAUAUCGACGGCGGUGUUUGGCACCUCGAUGUCGGCUCAUCUCAUCCUGGGGCUGUAGCCGGUCCCAAGGGUAUGGCUGUUCGCCAUUUAAAGUGGUACGUGAGCUGGGUUUAGAACGUCGUGAGACAGUUCGGUCCCUAUCUGCCGUGGGUGUAGGAUACUUGAGAGGAGUUGCCCCUAGUACGAGAGGACCGGGGUGGACGAACCUCUAGUGUACCUGUUGUGACGCCAGUUGCAUCGCAGGGUAGCUACGUUCGGA
rnacentral:rRNA from 14 species